CGGCGGUGGGGGGGCUGCGGCCCCCCCCGUGGUGGUCCAGCAGGCGGACGAUGUCGUGGUGGCGGCGUUGGUGGCCGAUGUCCCGGGGGAGGCGGUCCAGGUGGUCGCUGAUGUCGCGGUUGGCGCUGUGCUCCAGGAGGAUGCGCGCCGCCUCGUAGCUGCCCUCCCGGGCGGCCAGGAACAAUGGGGUUUCCUCCUGGGGGGGGGGGAAAGGGGAGGGGGGGUGGGGGAAGGGUGUUGGGGGAGGUGGGGGAGUGAUUUGGGGCAAUGGGGGUGUGUGUCGGGGGUGGUGGGGUCAAUGGGGCGGCUCCGCGGGGUAAUGGGGACAGAUCCUAGGGGUAAUGGGGGCAAUGGGACACCUCUUGGGGUCAAUGGGACAUCUGUUGGGGUCAUUAGGACCAAUGGGACACCUCUUAGGGUCAAUGGAACAUCUCCUGGGGUCAAUGGGACACCUCUUGGGGUCAAUGGGGUCAAUGGGACACUUGUUGGGGUCAUUAGGACCAAUGGGACACCUCUUAGGGUCAAUGGGACAUUUCCUGGGGUCAAUGGGACACCUCUUGGGGUCAAUGGGAUCAAUGGGACACUUGUUGGGGUCAAUAGGGCAUCUCGCUGGGUUAAUGGGGUCAAUGGGAUCAAUGGGGCAGCUCUGUGGGGCAAUGGGGACAUCUCCUGGGGGCAAUGGGAUCAAUGGGGCAUCUCCCAGGGUCAAUGGGGCACCUCUUGGGGUCAAUGGGGCAUCUUCUAGGGUCAAUAGGAUCAAUGGGACACUUCUUGGGGUCAAUGGGACACCUCUUGGAGUCAAUGGGAUCAAUGGGGCAGCUCUCUGGGGCAAUGGGAUCAAUGGGGCAUCUCCUGGGGUCAAUGGGACACCUGUUGGGGUCAAUGGGAUCAAUKGGACACCUCUUGGGGUCAAUGGGACACCUCUUGGGAUAAAUGGGGCAUCUUCUAAGGUCAAUGGGAUCAAUGGGACACCUGUUGGGGUCAUUAGGACCAAUGGGACACCUCUUGGGGUCAAUGGGGUCAAUGGGACACCUCUUGGGUUAAAUGGGACAUCUCCUGGGGUAAAUGGGGCAUCUUCCGGGGGUCAAUGGGAUCAAUAGGACACCUGUUGGGGUCAAUGGGGCAUCUCCUGGGGUCAAAGGGACACCUGUUGGGGUCAAUGGGAUCAAUGGGGCAGCUCUCUGGGGCAAUGGGGACAUCUCCGGGGGUCAAUGGGAUCAAUGGGACAUCUCAUGGUGUCAACGGCAUCAAUGGGAUACCUGUUGGGGUCAAUGGGGUCAAUGGGACACCUCUUAGGGUCAAUGGGAUCAAUGAGGCAGCUCUCUGGGGCAAUGUGGACAUCUCCUGGGGGCAAUGGGAUCAAUGGGGUGGCUCCAUGGGGCAAUGGGGACAGUUCCUGGGGGCAAUGGGGUCAAUGGGACACCUGUUGGGGUCAAUGGGAUCAAUGGGACACUUCUUGGGGUCAAUGGGGCAUCUCGCCAGGUUAAUGGGGUCAAUGGGACACCUCUUAGGGUUAAUGGGAUCAAUGGGGCAGCUCUCUGGGGCAAUGGGAUCAAUGGGGCAUCUCCUGGGGUCAAUGGGGCAUCUUCUAGGGUCAAUGGGAUCAAUGGGGCAGCUCUCUGGGGCAAUGGGAUCAAUGGGGCAUCUCCUGGGGUCAAUGGGACACCUGUUGGGGU
rnacentral:lncRNA from 1 species